rnacentral:rRNA from 1 species
GGGGAAUAUUGGACAAUGGGCGAAAGCCUGAUCCAGCCAUGCCGCGUGUGUGAAGAAGGUCUUCGGAUUGUAAAGCACUUUAAGUUGGGAGGAAGGGCUGCAAGUUAAUACCUUGUAGUUUUGACGUUACCAACAGAAUAAGCACCGGCUAACUUCGUGCCAGCAGCCGCGGUAAUACGAAGGGUGCAAGCGUUAAUCGGAAUUACUGGGCGUAAAGCGCGCGUAGGCGGCUUUUUAAGUCGGACGUGAAAGCCCUCGGCUCAACCGGGGAAUUGCGUUCGAAACUGGGAGGCUUGAGUCCUGGAGAGGGUGGCGGAAUUCCGGGUGUAGGAGUGAAAUCCGUAGAUAUCCGGAGGAACACCGGUGGCGAAGGCGGCCACCUGGACAGGUACUGACGCUGAGGCGCGAAAGUGUGGGGAGCAAACA